rnacentral:lncRNA from 13 species
AUCACACCUCGCCGAUCGAUGUGAUCAUCUUGGCCAGUGAUGGCUAUUAUACCAUGUAGAAAUGUGGGGGAGACCAAAGCUGCAAUUCCAGUCCACACCAGAGCCCAGAAAGAUUCCCAGGACCCGGGAGAUGCUUCCUGAGCAUCAGGAGCCUGUGGAACGCAGGAAGGAUGGUCCUACAUGAACCAGGAGGAACGGCAAUUGUCUGUAGUAAAAGAUGAAUGACAAAGGCAGGAAGGCACAAGAAGGCUCCCAGGUCGGCCCAGGAGCAGGAGCACGAGGCUGGCUCUGGGAAGCCUCACCCUCGUUGCAGCAGGCAGGUGGAUGGGCAAUUGGAUGAACAGUUGAGAGCUGAGCCCACAGAGUGGAGGAGGAAAGAGAGGCGCAUGGAUGGAGACGCAGACACAGUCCACCAGAGCCUGGGAACCCCCACACCUAUGCGCUCCCCUUGUUUAUCCGGAAAGGAGAGCAUCAGGUUUGAGGAGGAAUGGAACCUGAAACAAACCUCUUCCCUAGAUGUGGAAUUAAUGAGACCCAUUGCCUCUGCUCUCCGGUCCCUGUUCGUCACACAGAGUGCACCUACUGAGCUGGCAGUGGCCUGAUGGCAGGUGAUUCCUUGUGUGCCC